rnacentral:rRNA from 1 species
GAUGAACGCUGGCGGCGUGCCUAAUACAUGCAAGUCGAGCGAACAGACGAGGAGCUUGCUCCUCUGACGUUAGCGGCGGACGGGUGAGUAACACGUGGAUAACCUACCUAUAAGACUGGGAUAACUUCGGGAAACCGGAGCUAAUACCGGAUAACAUGUUGAACCGCAUGGUUCAACAGUGAAAGACGGUCUUUCUGUCACUUAUAGAUGGAUCCGCGCCGCAUUAGCUAGUUGGUAAGGUAACGGCUUACCAAGGCGACGAUGCGUAGCCGACCUGAGAGGGUGAUCGGCCACACUGGAACUGAGACACGGUCCAGACUCCUACGGGAGGCAGCAGUAGGGAAUCUGCCGCAAUGGGCGAAAGCCUGACGGAGCAACGCCGCGUGAGUGAAGAAGGUCUUCGGAUCGUAAAACUCUGUUAUUAGGGAAGAACAAAUGUGUAAGUAACUAUGCACGUCGUGACGGUACCUAAUCAGAAAGCCACGGCUAACUACGUG